rnacentral:lncRNA from 1 species
UUAUAGAGUGAAAUAUAGAGGAAUGCCAUAUUUGACUCUAUAUUUGGAGUGGAAAAAUGACAUUUCUCUAUAUUUCACUCUAUAAUAGAGCACUAUUGUAGCAAAAGUUACACUAUAAUAGAGUUACUUUAUUUUGGCGUAAAUUAUAAAUGAAAAAAUAGAGUUCCAUUGGAGAUGAUGGUGUAAUAGAGUUACUUUAUAAUAAAGUUACUCUAUUUUACAGUGAAAUAUAGAGAAAAUUAUUGUGUAUUAUUGGAGAUGGUCUCAAAGGGAUGAUUUUUUUCUGAUAUGGAUCCAAGUCAUUUCCUUUUUAUUUUCAAUUUAAAUAGAAAAUAAAUCAAAAUAACCAAAAACUCUUAAGAAUUUAAACAUAUUUACUAACUCAUGACGAUACUAUUCUACCCAAAAUCCGACCAAGAUUUUGACUCUAAACGUUACCC